rnacentral:tRNA from 1 species
GGGGUUGUGGCUCAGUGACAGAGCACUUGCCUCACACAUAUGAGGCACUGAGUUCGAUCCUCAGCACCA